rnacentral:rRNA from 1 species
GACGAACGCUGGCGGCGUGCUUAACACAUGCAAGUCGAGCGGUAAGGCCCUUUCGGGGGUACACGAGCGGCGAACGGGUGAGUAACACGUGGGUGACCUGCCCUUAGCUCUGGGAUAAGCCUGGGAAACGUGGGUCUAAUACCGGAUAUGACUCCAUGACGCAUGUUGUGGGGUGGAAAGCCUUGUGCGGCUAGGGAUGGGCCCGCGGCCUAUCAGCUUGUUGGUGGGGUGAUGGCCACCAAGGCGACGACGGGUAGCCGGCCUGAGAGGGCGACCGGCCACACUGGGACUGAGACACGGCCCAGACUCCUACGGGAGGCAGCAGGUGGGGAAUCUUGCGCAAUGGGCGAAAGCCUGACGCAGCGACGCCGCGUGGGGAUGACGGCCU